rnacentral:SRP_RNA from 1 species
UAUGGGUCCGUCAACAGCGCGUCUGGAACCCCGUCAGGCCCGGAAGGGAGCAGCGGUAGCGGGAAAGCGAGUGUGACGGGCCCUUUCCG